CAAUAGCGUAUAUUAAAGUUGUUGCAGUUAAAAAGCUCGUAGUUGGACUUCUGCGGGUGGCGGCCGGUCGUGCUCGAAACGGGCGUGAACUUGGCGUGCUGCCCGCAUCUUUGGGGAGAUUGUGCGUGGCAUUAAGUUGUCGUGCAUGGGAUUCUCAUCAUUUACUGUGAAAAAAUUAGAGUGUUUAAAGCAGGCCUUUGCCUUGAAUACAUUAGCAUGGAAUAAUAAGAUAGGACCGUUGUCUAUUUUGUUGGUUUACAGAUGUCGGUAAUGAUUAAUAGGGAUAGUUGGGGGUAUUCGUAUUCAGUUGUCAGAGGUGAAAUUCUUGGAUUUUCGGAAGACGCACGACUGCGAANGNAUUUAGNAAGGAUGUUUNCAUUA
rnacentral:rRNA from 1 species